GUUGGCCUCGGAUCAGGUGGGGAUACCCGCUGAACUUAAGCAUAUCAAUAAGCGGAGGAAAAGAAACCAACAGGGAUUGCCUCAGUAACGGCGAGUGAAGCGGCAACAGCUCAAAUUUGAAAUCUGGCGCAAGCCCGAGUUGUAAUUUGUAGAGGAUGUUUCGGGUGAAGCCACGGUCCAAGUCCCUUGGAACAGGACGUCAUAGAGGGUGAGAACCCCGUACCUGGCCGUCGGUGCCCCCCGCUGUGAAACUCCUUCGACGAGUCGAGUUGUUUGGGAAUGCAGCUCUAAAUUGGUGGUAAAUUCCAUCUAAAGCUAAAUACCGGCCAGAGACCGAUAGCGCACAAGUAGAGUGAUCGAAAGAUGAAAAGCACUUUGAAAAGAGAGUUAAAAAGUACGUGAAAUUGUUGAAAGGGAAGCGCUUGCGGCCAGACUUGCCCGCGGUUGCUCAGCCCGCCUUUUGGCGGGUGCACUCUUCCGCGGUCAGGCCAGCAUCGGUUUGGGCGGUCGGAUAAAGGCGUUGGGAACGUGGCCUCCCCUCGGGGAGGUGUUAUAGCCCGGCGCGCAAUGCGACCAGCCCGGACCGAGGUUCGCGCUUUGCUAGGAUGCUGGCGUAAUGGCCGUAAGCGGCCCGUCUUGAAACACGGACCAAGGAGUCUAACAUCUAUGCGAGUGUUUGGGUGUCAAACCCGUGCGCGUAAUGAAAGUGAACGGAGGUGGGAACCGCAAGGUGCACCAUCGACCGAUCCUGAUGUCUUCGGAAGGAUUUGAGUAAGAGCAUAGCUGUUGGGACCCGAAAGAUGGUGAACUAUGCGUGAAUAGGGUGAAGCCAGAGGAAACUCUGGUGGAGGCUCGCAGCGGUUCUGACGUGCAAAUCGAUCGUCAAAUUUGCGUAUAGGGGCGAAAGACUAAUCGA
rnacentral:rRNA from 1 species